CCUAGGGGAGGCUGCAGUGGGGAAUAUUGGACAAUGGGGGGAACCCUGAUCCAGCCAUGCCGCGUGUGUGAAGAAGGCCCUCGGGUUGUAAAGCACUUUCAGUGAGGAAGAACGCCUGGUGGUUAAUACCCAUCAGGAAAGACAUCACUCACAGAAGAAGCACCGGCUAACUCCGUGCCAGCAGCCGCGGUAAUACGGAGGGUGCGAGCGUUAAUCGGAAUUACUGGGCGUAAAGCGCGCGUAGGUGGCUUGAUAAGCCGGUUGUGAAAGCCCCGGGCUCAACCUGGGAACGGCAUCCGGAACUGUCAAGCUAGAGUGCAGGAGAGGAAGGUAGAAUUCCCGGUGUAGCGGUGAAAUGCGUAGAGAUCGGGAGGAAUACCAGUGGCGAAGGCGGCCUUCUGGACUGACACUGACACUGAGGUGCGAAAGCGUGGGUAGCAAACAGGAUUAGAUACCCCAGUAGUC
rnacentral:rRNA from 1 species